rnacentral:rRNA from 1 species
UAAGGAAUAUUGGACAAUGGUCGCAAGACUGAUCCAGCCAUGCCGCGUGCAGGAAGACGGCCCUAUGGGUUGUAAACUGCUUUUGUACCAGAGAAAACCUAUCUACGUGUAGAUAGCUGAUAGUAUGGUAAGAAUAAGCAUCGGCUAACUUCGUGCCAGCAGCCGCGGUAAGACGAAGGAUGCAAGCGUUAUCCGGAUUCAUUGGGUUUAAAGGGUGCGUAGGCGGGCUUGUAAGUCAGUGGUGAAAUCUCUCAGCUUAACUGAGAAACUGCCAUUGAGACUGCAGGCCUAGAGUAUAGAUGACGUUGGCGGAAUAUGACCUGUAGUGGUGAAAUACUUAGAUAUGUCAUAGUACACCGAUUGCGAAGGCAGCUAACGAAACUAUAACUGACGCUGAGGCACGAAAGUGCGGGGAUCAAACA